rnacentral:lncRNA from 1 species
GUUGAAGGCAGGGCUUUGCAAGCAUUGUAUUCUUUUCAAACCGGUUUUAAAGAGAGGCGCAUUUGGUUCUUUUAUAAUAAAAGCUCAUCAAGACUACAAACAUUUUUACGAAGAUGCCCGAUCACAUGAAAAGAGUAGUUGGCAUCUAGAAUCUACAAGCAAGGCCAACAGUUUUUGUGAUUCGAUCGAAA